rnacentral:rRNA from 1 species
AUUGAACGCUGGCGGCAGGCCUAACACAUGCAAGUCGAGCGGUAGCACAGAGAGCUUGCUCUCGGGUGACGAGCGGCGGACGGGUGAGUAAUGUCUGGGAAACUGCCUGAUGGAGGGGGAUAACUACUGGAAACGGUAGCUAAUACCGCAUAAUGUCGCAAGACCAAAGUGGGGGACCUUCGGGCCUCAUGCCAUCAGAUGUGCCCAGAUGGGAUUAGCUAGUAGGUGGGGUAACGGCUCACCUAGGCGACGAUCCCUAGCUGGUCUGAGAGGAUGACCAGCCACACUGGAACUGAGACACGGUCCAGACUCCUACGGGAGGCAGCAGUGGGGAAUAUUGCACAAUGGGCGCAAGCCUGAUGCAGCCAUGCCGCGUGUAUGAAGAAGGCCUUCGGGUUGUAAAGUACUUUCAGCGGGGAGGAAGGCGAUAAGGUUAAUAACCUUGUCGAUUGACGUUACCCGCAGAAGAAGCACCGGCUAACUCCGUGCCAGCAGCCGCGGUAA